UCUUCUCCUUAGCAUACUCAAUGUGACAAUGAUGAGGAUGAAGACCUUUAUGAUGAUCUACCUCCACUUAAUAAACAAUGAAAACAGCAACUGUACCUGACUUACCUAAAGACCUGGAUGAGUUAAGAAGCAGACCCAGGACUUAAAGACAGAUCUUUUGAAUUCAGAGCUCUUUCUCCAGGAAAAGAGAACCUACAAGUAUAUUUUAAGAAACACUUUUGAGAAAUAAUAGCUCUUUGAGAAAUAAUAAAAAAUGGGAGGGAGUGUUUCAGAAAUAAAUCACAUUGCAGUAGAUCCUUUGGAGC
rnacentral:lncRNA from 10 species